rnacentral:rRNA from 1 species
UGGGGGGCCUUUCGGGAGGCAGCAGUGGGGAAUAUUGCACAAUGGGCGCAAGCCUGAUGCAGCGACGCCGCGUGAGGGAUGACGGCCUUCGGGUUGUAAACCUCUUUCAGUAGGGAAGAAGCGAAAGUGACGGUACCUGCAGAAGAAGCGCCGGCUAACUACGUGCCAGCAGCCGCGGUAAUACGUAGGGCGCAAGCGUUAUCCGGAAUUAUUGGGCGUAAAGAGCUCGUAGGCGGUUUGUCGCGUCUGCCGUGAAAGUCCGGGGCUCAACUCCGGAUCUGCGGUGGGUACGGGCAGACUAGAGUGAUGUAGGGGAGACUGGAAUUCCUGGUGUAGCGGUGAAAUGCGCAGAUAUCAGGAGGAACACCGAUGGCGAAGGCAGGUCUCUGGGCAUUAACUGACGCUGAGGAGCGAAAGCAUGGGGAGCGAACAGGAUUAGAUACCCUGGUAGUCCAUGCCGUAAACGUUGGGCACUAGGUGUGGGGGACAUUCCACGUUUUCCGCGCCGUAGCUAACGCAUUAAGUGCCCCGCCUGGAG